AGAGUUUGAUUAUGGCUCAGAACGAACGCUGGCGGCAUGCCUCAUACAUGCAAGUCGAACGAGGUCUUCGGACCUAGUGGCGCACGGGUGAGUAACAUGUGGGAAUCUACCUAAAGGUUCGGAAUAACUAUGGGAAACUGUAGCUAAUACCGGAUGUGUCUGCAAAGAGAAAGAUUUAUCGCCUUUAGAUGAGCCCGCACUAGAUUAGCUAGUUGGUGAGGUAACUGCUCCACCAAGGCUACGAUCUAUAGCUGAUUUGAGAGGAUGAUCAGCCACACUGGGACUGAGACACGGCCCAGACUCCUACGGGAGGCAGCAGUAGGGAAUAUUGGACAAUGGGGGAAACCCUGAUCCAGCAAUGCCGCGUGAGUGAAGAAGGCCUUAGGGUUGUAAAACUCUUUCAUCAAUGAUGAUAAUGACAUUAGUUGAAGAAGAAGCUCCGGCUAACUUCGUGCCAGCAGCCGCGGUAAUACGAAGGGGGCUAGCGUUGUUCGGAAUCACUGGGCGUAAAGCGUAUGUAGGCGGAUCAAAAAGUUAGAUGUGAAAUCCCUGGGCUCAACCCAGGAACUGCAUUUAAUACUAGUGAUCUAGAAUGUGGUAAAGGUUAGUAGAAUUUCCAGUGUAGAGGUGAAAUUCGUAGAUAUUGGAAAGAAUACCAGAAGCGAAGGCGACUAACUAGGCCAUUUUUGACGCUGAGAUACGAAAGCGUGGGUAGCAAACAGGAUUAGAUACCCUGGUAGUCCACGCAGUAAACGAUGAGUGCUAGUCGCUGGGACAAUAGUUUCAGUGUCGAAGCUAACGCAUUAAGCACUCCGCCUGGGAAGUACGGUCGCAAGAUUAAAACUCAAAUAAAUUGACGGGGGCCCGCACAAGCGGUGGAGCAUGUGGUUUAAUUCGAAGCAACG
rnacentral:rRNA from 1 species